rnacentral:rRNA from 1 species
CAUUUGUUCUCUAAAUAAGGACUUGUAUGAAAGGCAACACGAGAGUUUUACUGUCUCUUACUUCCAAUCAGUGAAAUUGACCUCCCCGUGAAGAGGCGGGGAUAAACUAACAAGACGAGAAGACCCUAUGGAGCUUUAACUAACUAACCCAAAGAAAACAUACUCAACCGCCAAGGGAUAAUAGCACUCUUUAUGGGCUAGCAGUUUUGGUUGGGGUGACCUCGGAGAACAAAAAAUCCUCCGAACGAUUUUAAAGGCUAGACUUACAAGUCAAACCCAAAUUAUCGCUUAUUGAUCCAAAAACUUGAUCAACGGAACAAGUUACCCUAGGGAUAACAGCGCA